rnacentral:rRNA from 1 species
GACGAACGCUGGCGGCGUGCCUAACACAUGCAAGUCGAACGGAAAGGCCCUGCUUUUGUGGGGUGCUCGAGUGGCGAACGGGUGAGUAACACGUGAGUAACCUGCCCUUGACUUUGGGAUAACUUCAGGAAACUGGGGCUAAUACCGGGUAGGAGCUCCUGCUGCAUGGUGGGGGUUGGAAAGUUUCGGCGGUUGGGGAUGGACUCGCGGCUUAUCAGCUUGUUGGUGGGGUAGUGGCUUACCAAGGCUUUGACGGGUAGGCGGCCUGAGAGGGUGACCGGCCACAAUGGGACUGAGAUACGGCCCAGACUCCUACGGGAGGCAGCAGUGGGGAAUAUUGCACAAUGGGCGGAAGCCUGAUGCAGCAACGCCGCGUGCGGGAUGACGGCCUUCGGGUUGUAAACCGCUUUCGCCUGUGACGAAGCGUGAGUGACGGUAAUGGGUAAAGAAGCACCGGCUAACUACGUG